UCCCUGAUAGCUCAGUUGGUAGAGAAUCUGCCUGCAAUGCAGGAGACCCUGGUUUGAUUCCUGGGUUGGGAA
rnacentral:tRNA from 1 species